UACGAAGGGUGCUAGCGUUGUUCGGAAUUACUGGGCGUAAAGCGCGCGUAGGCGGCUUUUCAAGUCAGGGGUGAAAUCCCACGGCUCAACCGUGGAAUUGCCUUUGAAACUGUAAAGCUGGAGUGUUGGAGGGGAUAGCGGAAUUGCUAAUGUAGAGGUGAAAUUCGUAGAUAUUAGCAGGAACACCGGUGGCGAAGGCGGCUAUCUGGACGACAACUGACGCUGAGGCGCGAAAGCGUGGGGAUCAAACAGG
rnacentral:rRNA from 1 species